rnacentral:misc_RNA from 1 species
CACUAAAUUAAAUUUGUAGUGUUAUGGAGACACACACACACAUAUAUAUAAAACAGUUAAUUGAUAUAGUGACAAGUGCACUGAAGUAGUGUAAGGGUUUGUUUGGAAGUGAUUUUGAAACUACUAAAACCAGUUUGGUCAUGUGAUGUUCAAAAUACUCUCAUACAUGACUUUAUAUCUCCCUAACUAAACUAAAUAGUGAAGG